UCUAGAACUUGAGAUAUGGGCUGAACACUGAACAGUGUCUGGACUGCAGGACAGAUUCAGACUUCUUCGUUGUUUCUACAAUUUGGACUUGAAAACGGCAUUGUUAAAUCUUGGACUCCCAUGAAAGUUGUAGGCCUAUGUCUUAGCUUUCCAUC
rfam:Populus trichocarpa scaffold_1_contig_238, whole genome shotgun sequence.